GAUGAACGCUGGCGGCGUGCCUAAUACAUGCAAGUCGAGCGAACAGACGAGGAGCUUGCUCCUCUGACGUUAGCGGCGGACGGGUGAGUAACACGUGGAUAACCUACCUAUAAGACUGGGAUAACUUCGGGAAACCGGAGCUAAUACCGGAUAAUAUAUUGAACCGCAUGGUUCAAUAGUGAAAGACGGUUUUGCUGUCACUUAUAGAUGGAUCAGCGCCGCAUUAGCUAGUUGGUAAGGUAACGGCUUACAAAGGCAACGAUGCGUAGCCGACCUGAGAGGGUGAUCGGCCACACUGGAACUGAGACACGGUCCAGACUCCUACGGGAGGCAGCAGUAGGGAAUCUUCCGCAAUGGGCGAAAGCCUGACGGAGCAACGCCGCGUGAGUGAUGAAGGUCUUCGGAUCGUAAAACUCUGUUAUUAGGGAAGAACAAAUGUGUAAGUAACUAUGCACGUCUUGACGGUACCUAAUCAGAAAGCCACGGCUAACUACGUG
rnacentral:rRNA from 1 species